AUGGAUGGCGAGUAGAAAAUCUAGUCAUUUUGAAAGCCCUAAUGCCACCAUGUCAAAUGGAUAUCUUCAGAGUCAUAAAUUUAUGGUAAAAAGAGAACAUGCAUGAACAUCAGCAACAAAGAAAGUCAUACUGAGUGGCCCAGGUCAUUUUGCUGAGAAGAAAAGCAUUGAGGUUAAUUUGGAGGCAUCCCUUCACAAGUGCUGCCAAAAGCACGGACAUAUUUUAACAAAAUGUUUCACUACGCCUACAGCUCCAUAGAAAUUUCUAAAUUCCCAUUUCACCUGAAACUGCAGUAGAACUGUUGAUGACUGUAAACUUUCAAGAUUGU
rnacentral:lncRNA from 1 species